CAGUCGCCGCGGGAAUACGUAGGGUGCGAGCGUUAAUCGGAAUUACUGGGCGUAAAGCGAGCGCAGACGGUUAUUUAAGCAGGAUGUGAAAUCCCCGGGCUUAACCUGGGAACUGCGUUCUGAACUGGAUAGCUAGAGUGUGUCAGAGGGGGGUAGAAUUCCACGUGUAGCAGUGAAAUGCGUAGAGAUGUGGAGGAAUACCGAUGGCGAAGGCAGCCCCCUGGGCCAAUACUGACGCUCAUGCACGAAAGCGUGGGGAGCAAACAGGAUUAGAUACCCCCGUAGUCCCUGUCUCUUAUAC
rnacentral:rRNA from 1 species